rnacentral:tRNA from 1 species
GUGAGUUUGGCUUAAUGGUAGAGUGCUUGCCUAGCAUGCAUGAUGUCUUGAGUUCAAUCCGUAGCACUACA